GGCCUCUCCAGCCAUGCUUCCCGCACAGCCUGUACAACUACAAGACAAGAGAAAGGAAAGAAGGCCUCAGAUUUAUUUGACAAGGCAACAAAAUCAGCUUUCAUGCCAGAGUAAUUCACUGAGAGUCAAG